rnacentral:rRNA from 1 species
UGGGGAAUAUUGCACAAUGGAUGGAACUCUGAUGCAGCGACGCCGCGUGAACGAAGAAGGCUUUCGAGUCGUAAAGUUCUUUUAUAUGGGAAGAUAAUGACGGUACCAUAAGAAAAAGCCCCGGCUAACUACGUGCCAGCAGCCGCGGUAAUACGUAGGGGGCUAGCGUUGUCCGGAAUCACUGGGCGUAAAGGGUUCGCAGGCGGAAAUGCAAGUCAGGUGUAAAAGGCAGUAGCUUAACUACUGUAAGCAUUUGAAACUGCAUAUCUUGAGAAGAGUAGAGGUAAGUGGAAUUUUUAGUGUAGCGGUGAGAUGCGUAGAUAUUAAAAAGAAUACCGGUGGCGAAGGCGACUUACUGGGCUCAUUCUGACGCUGAGGAACGAAAGCGUGGGUAGCAAACAGG